GCAGGUCUCAGAAGAAGAAGAGAAGUCACAGUCUCACCAGCAGUGUAUGGGAAACCCCAUUACUCCACAUCAACACCAACACUUGGUCUAAGAGUUUAGCAUGGAGAGUGACAUAAUAAUCAGAGAGAUCUUUUUACAAAAAAGUUUCUCUUCAUUUCCUGGAACUCACAAUGGGAACAUGAGAAAGGAAGAUUUGU